GACAGGUGAAUCGAAUCUUUGAACGCACAUUGCGCCCAUUGGUAUUCCGAUGGGCAUGCCUGUUCGAGCGUCAUUAUCCUCCCUCAAACCUCGUGUUUGGUGUUGGACCGCGUUGGCCGAGCGACCAACUGGUCUCAAAGACAAUGACGGCGUCCGUGGGACCCUCGGUGCAACGAGCUUCUAAGGAGCACGCGUCGAGUUUCAAGGACCCUCCGGGCCGGUCUUGACCUCUAUCUUCUCAGGUUGACCUCGGAUCAGGUAGGAAUACCCGCUGAACUUAAGCAUAUCAAUAAGCGGAGG
rnacentral:misc_RNA from 1 species